ensembl:lncRNA
GGUCACGCUCUGCAUGCUUCAGCUUCAUCCUCAAAAAAAAGGAAAACUACUUGUUAAUGUGUGUGGCACACCAGAAAUAACCCCCAAAGGAAUAUAAUCAAGCUCCGGGUCAACAUCAACUGGUCGAUGACAGGAGCACCUCUUUGCUUCCAGAGAGCAACAGGGCGCAGACGUCCUAUCCAUGACAACGGGGCGUUGUGAGCAAGCCCCGCCCACUGACAGCUGCCUCAUUGUGUGCUGAGCCUCCGAAGCGGUUUGUUCCUCUUUGCUUGGACAGUUCAAUAACUAAUCUCAAUGCAGCCAGCAGCCUGUGGUUUUGAAAAUGAAGAGGGCAGGCCCGAUGGAAAGUCCUGAUUGGCGUGGCGGUGUUGGGUGUUGUUUGUGUGUGUGUGUGUGUGUGUGUGCGUGCGUGUGUGUGUUGGGUAAUUGGAAGGUUAUAUUGUCAGUUCACAUGAGCGUUCAGGGCCAGGACAGGGAGAACACACCCUGGCUGCACAAAUAGAGUAAGACAACACUGUUAAAGUUCAAAUGGACUUUGGUGUUAAGCUUAUAAUGGGUUUUUAUAAUGGGACGCUUUUCUUUUUAACUGUUAAAAUGUAUUUUGCCAAAAGUUGUGCACAGGCCUGAUGGAUAGUAUUAUUAAACUCGCCUAAUUAAACUGUGAAUAUUUAUCACAUUAAUUACAUUUUUCAUUCAGCCUCCGCAGAAUCCUUUGGUUUGUAAUCAAGUAAGUCACAUCAAAGGUUAUUGCGCCACGUUUGCAAUUAUUCAGCCCAAGAUUUCAAAUGACAUUUUGAGCUGUCAUCCUAUCGUCUCCACCUUCAGUAAUGAAAUGUGAGAAAGGGCAGCCGUAGUUUGGUCUCCAUCCUUGAGUUCAUCCAUCCGUCUGUCACAUCUGAGAUCAGUGGGGAUGAUGCAUCAACAAAGAGCACGUCCUCUCUGACAUAACGUGCUGCUUUAUGGACCGCGUUGACCUGUCGAUCCAACGGUUGCUGCCAGUGACAUCACACACCGGCCCCCACGAGCUUUUGGAUCCCGCUGAUGUGACCGCACACGGGCCACGCGAGCAGCCCCCCGCCCCCCCGUCCCCAAACCCUCGCUCCCUCCCUCCGUCACAUGUAAGCUGACGAACAGCAGGCUCGUGUUCUCGAUGGAGGAGCCUUUUGGGCCACAAGAACCAUGUGUACUCACCACUUUCUGCUUGGACACACGCAAACAAUGGGACACGUCUGGAGUGCUUGGGGCCCAGACCCCGAGGAAGGGCAGAUGGUGCCCGGGAUCGAGCACCACAACCCUAUUAACAUGAGAAAAGAGAGGGACAGAGGCGGGGGGGGGGAAGAGGGGACAGGUACCCUCUCUCCUAUUUUCCCCUCUUGCUUAGACGUUAGAGAGGGGGGGCGACUCAUAGUCUGUGGUGCGGAUGUGAAACUCAAUUAGGGGAAAAGCUGUCAAUUCAAGAGCAGACAAUAUUGAAUGUGAGGAUUCUGUUUAUAUUUAAGAGAGUCCCAUCUAUUCUUACUCAUAUUCAAGACCUGCAGCUCCUGACUUAUUUAGAAUGUUUUCAUUUUGCAUGAGAAAAAUUAUUUUCCUACAUAGAUUGAAAGCUAUAUUUUUUAAUACAACGUUAUGGAAAAAAAUGUGAAGAUUUGAAGAUUUAACUGUUUUGUUAUGUGCGUGUCUACUGUUCAUCUGGAUUAUCUUUUAAUUUUUAAUGAAUGAGUCAAAUGAUGGAGCUUUCUUCCAUUCAAUUAUGAUCUUUAUUUGAAAUGUCAGCAAG